GGAGCAAUUUCUGCUUUCCUGCUCUUUGAACCAGACAUUUAAGAUUUGGGCUGCCACUAAAGCAGGAGAACUAGAGGUCACUUAUGAACACUAGGAGAAGCAUGUUGCAUAGUGGAAUUCUACAUUCAAUUUCAAAUGUAGGUUGUAUAAUGGAAUUCUACUUGGAAUGAGGGACUAGUGAAGCUAACUUGGCAAUGUUGCAGCUUCUGCUGUCCUGCCAAGGUUGCUGCUGCAGCUGCCCUUCCGUCAAGAAUUUUUA